rnacentral:rRNA from 1 species
UUCCGUAGGUGAACCUGCGGAAGGAUCAUUAUCUAGAUUUUGUUCGGCUUUGCCUGCUAUCUCUUACCCAUGUCUUUUGAGUACCUUCGUUUCCUCGGCGGGUCCGCCCGCCGAUUGGACAGAUUUACACCAUUUGCAGUUGCAAUCAGCGUCUGAAAAAACUUAAUAGUUACAACUUUCAACGACGGAUCUCUUGGUUCUGGCAUCGAUGAAGAACGCAGCGAAAUGCGAUAAGUAGUGUGAAUUGCAGAAUUCAGUGAAUCAUCGAAUCUUUGAACGCACAUUGCUUCCCUUGGUAUUCCAUGGGGCAUGCCUGUUCGAUCUUCAUUUGUACCUUCUAGCUCUGCUUGGUGUUGGGUGUUUGUCUCGCCUCUGCAGCGUAUACUCUUUUCACAAACAAUUGGCAGCCGGUGCUAUUGAUUUUGGAGCGCAGUACAUCUCGCGCUUUGCACUCAUAACGACGACGUCCACAAAGUACAUUUUUACACUCAUGACCUCGGAUCCGGUAAAGCUUACCCGCUGAACCCAU